AUUGAACGCUGGCGGCAUGCCUUACACAUGCAAGUCGAACGGCAGCACGGGGGCAACCCUGGUGGCGAGUGGCGAACGGGUGAGUAAUGCAUCGGAACGUGCCCAGUAGUGGGGGAUAACCCGGCGAAAGCCGGGCUAAUACCGCAUACGACCUAAGGGUGAAAGCGGGGGACAGUAAGGCCUCGCGCUAUUGGAGCCGCCGAUGUCUGAUUAGCUAGUUGGCGGGGUAAAAGCCCACCAAGGCGACGAUCAGUAGCUGGUCUGAGAGGACGACCAGCCACACUGGGACUGAGACACGGCCCAGACUCCUACGGGAGGCAGCAGUGGGGAAUUUUGGACAAUGGGCGCAAGCCUGAUCCAGCAAUGCCGCGUGUGUGAAGAAGGCCUUCGGGUUGUAAAGCACUUUUGUCCGGAAAGAAAUGGCUCUGGUUAAUACCUGGGGUCGAUGACGGUACCGGAAGAAUAAGGACCGGCUAACUACGUGCCAGCCGCCGCGGUAAUAC
rnacentral:rRNA from 1 species